AUUUUCCUUUUCUCAUAAAAGAGCAAUGAUAUUUAAUAUUCAUUUCAUAAUCACAACAGAACACAUCAAAACAUGCUUGAUAUUCACCUUUUAGAAUUUUGAAUACAAAAAAAAAUAUUAAAAAAUAUCCUGUCCCGAUUCGGAAACAGGACGUUAUCUAACCUAUUCUUUCUCUCUAUAUAUCAUUGUAGGUAUUUCCGGUGCUGACUUGAAACGUUUUCAUUUACGAUGUUGCGAAUUCAUCAUUACAUUUGCAUGGGGUAGUGCAUAUGUUGUGUGUGGCCUUCUAAACGAUAAAUCUAUGGAUUAAAGGAUGAACAGGUCGAUGCAGGAAUAUUCAUUCUAAUGAUAAGGAAAUACGAAAUGCAAGGACAACCUCCAAGCAUGCAGUAUGCCUUAUACAAACAAUGAUGGAAUGUUCCAUUAUAUGGUGGCGCCCAGUUUUUAUUGGUGGAAGAGAGAACCCAGAUACAAUGUACCUGGGAAGAGACCAUCAACCUUCCGAAAGUAAACUGGGAAAUUUUCUCACUUAACGGCAUGAACGGGAUUGGAACCCUCGCCAACAGAGAAUCCUGAAGUGAUCUUGUACAUGUAAAUGCAUGCAGUGGUGGAUUCAGGAUUUGUUAAAGGGGGGAUAGGGCUCCAGGGUUUUGAGGCUUUUUAGAACUAGAUGAGCAGAAGAUGCAGUCCAUGACUGACUCCCCAUAUGAUAUGAAAGAGAGCCCAUGAGAAUGGAACCAACUUUCAGUGUUACAAUGGAUGAACACUCCUCCUGUCACAAGUCCAUCUUGAUUCAGUAAAGUGGUAGUCUAUUUAUCUAGGAAGCAACAAGACGGAUUUGGACAAGGACCAUAUUGACUCAAGUUUUGGUGUCAGAAGACCAUUUUGAUUAAACAUGUUAAAAGCACCACAGAAGUAAGAAGCUAGGAUACCAGUUUUAUGUGAGCAUACCAUUUAAGGAUUCAUUACUGAACAGUUGAAGGAUAGUCACUAUGACAAGAAAAUGGAACAAUUGUAAUGAGCAUUGGGGUCCAUGUAUUUAGAGCUUUCCAUUUUUCUGUUGAAAGUCAUAUUGAUAUUGUUCUGUUUAUUAUUUUUUCUUACCAUCAAAAUGCUAUCACUCUUUAAGACAUAUUGAAACACUUUUUAGCUCACCUGAACCGAAGGUUCAAGUGAGCUUUUCUGAUCACAUUUUGUCCGUCGUCCAUCUGUAAACUUUUCACAUUUUCGACUUCUUCUCCAGAAGCACUGGAUCAAUUUCAACCAAACUUGGCCAAAAGCAUCCUUGGGUGAAGGGCUUUCCAGUUUGUUCAAAUGAAGGGCCAUGUCCCUUUCAAACGGGAGAUAAUAAAAGAAAUGCAAAAAUAGGGUGGGGUCAUUUAAAAAUCUUCUUCUCAAGAACCACUGGGCCAGAAGAGCUGAAAUUUACCUGAAAGCUUCCUGACAUAUCGCAGAUUCACGUUUGUUCAA